rnacentral:tRNA from 1 species
GCGCUGGUAGUAUAGUGGUUAGUAUACCUCGUUGCCAACGAGGUGACCCGGGUUCGACUCCCGGCCUGCGCA